UGCGGAUUAGUGUAAUGGUACCAUAUUUGGCUCAUGACCAAAAGAUUUAGGUUCGAAUCCUAAGUUCGCGC
rfam:Talaromyces islandicus isolate WF-38-12 genome assembly, contig: WF-38-12_scaffold00002